UGGUUUUGUGUAAAAUGUUUAUGAGCUGGUAAAUAGCCUCGUCCGAACCAUCCUGAUCUCGCGAGUUUACAUGCACUGUUUCGUUAAUGUAAGCUCGCGAGAUCUGGAUGGUUCGGACGAGGCUCGUCAAAUGGCGGCUUCAACGGUUUUGGUCGUCUUCCUAGGAGUUUGCUCGUGGGGAAAUGGCGACAUGAGGCUGUGUGAUGGAGUGUCAAAAUAGAGAGAAGCUAGCUGAAGUUAUCCUUCACCAUUUGGAGAGAGAGGCCAACUGCAUGGAAUGGCGUCGAUUAAUGCGGAUGAAUCGGAGCACGUAUCAAACUCUAUCCAUGGAGGACCAAGUGUCUGCGGGUUUUCGCUCCACCCUUGUACUUGAUUAAUGAAUUAAGGUCACUAAUUAGUGAGGAACUCACCUCAACUGAUUGUCUAUGUUUUAAUUGAAAGGAAAAAAAUAAAACCCGCUGAGACUCGGUCCUCAAUGGAAUGAGUUAGACACCCCUGAAACAAUUGAAAUGGAGAGAGAGUUUGAGAAGCAACAGCUGUGCUGGAAUGCGAUCAAUGUGGGGGACAGUUCUGAUGAUAUGGAGCCGGAGGAUGAGGGCCUAGUAUUUGAAUGGUCUGUAGUGGAAAGACAUAGGAAGAACAGAGAUAAUGAUACUGGAAGCAGUGGCGCAUGUAGUAUAGAAACUCCAGAGGUCCAAGGCCGACUCAGAUUAAGAGGCCGUUAACAUCAACAGUGAGGACAAACCCAGCCUGCUUCUCUCCUUCCACACUGAGUCCAAACCUACAGUCACUGGGUCCUGAUUGUGACAGAGGAGCCCAGUUUGCACUGCAGGAUCCAGAGAUGGCAUCAGUGAAGCUGGAAGACUGCAGUCAAACACUGGAGCUGAAUGUCAUCAUUAAAGAUGAAGAAGAGGAGGAGGAGAUUGGUACAUCUGUUAGUCAUGGGGACCAUGUUGAGACAUUCUCUACAUCCAGAGAGCAACAGCAGGAAGGUCACAGAGCUAAGAGGUCUCACCACUGCCCACAUUGUGAGGAGAUUUUCCCAAUUCUAUCAAAGCUAAAGAUACAUCUAAAAAUACACACAGGAGAGAAGCCUUACUCCUGCUCUGACUGUGGGGGGAGAUUCUCCCGAUUGGAUACCUUAAAAUGUCACCACCGAAUACAUACAGGAGAGAAGCCUUACUCCUGCUUUGACUGUGGUAAAUGCUUUAAAACAUCAACUGAGCUAAAAUCUCAUCAGCGAAGACACACAGGAGAGAAGCCUUACUCCUGCUCUGACUGUGGGGAGAGUUUCUCCAGAUUGGAUACCUUAAAAUGUCACCAACAAAUGCAUACAGGAGUGAAGCCUUACUCCUGCUCUGAAUGUGGAAAGAGUUUCUCUCAACAGGGUAACUUAAAAACACACCAACGUAUACAUAAAGGAGAGAAGCCUUACUCCUGCUCUGACUGUGGGAAAGGCUUUAAAACAUCAACUGAGCUAAAAUCUCACCAGAGAACUCACACAGGAGAGAAGCCUCACUACUGCUCUGACUGUGGGGCGAGUUUCUCUCAAUUGAGCAAUUUAAGAAGACACCAACGUAUACAUAAAGGAGAGAAGCCUUACCAUUGCUCUGACUGUGGGACAAGUUUCUCUCAAUUGAGCAACUUAAAAACGCACCAACGCAUACAUAAAGGAGAGAAGUUCUCUCAGACCAGCUAAGAUUAAAGUCACUCUAUCACUUAAUUCUCAUUUGAUAGAAGAAGUGGUAACAGUGAAUUGGAUCAAAUGAAGAAAGCGUAGAACACUGUAAUCUUAUUGUUUCUCAAUGUGAUAGAACUGUACAGAGGAAAAGGAUUGUUAUAGAAUGUUAGCCUCUCUUUACUUUACUGAUCAGUGUGCACCUUGUCAGUUUUGGUGUGUUUUGUUAGAUUCUACUGUAAACAUGUUGAGAUUACCUGGAUUUUCCCUUAGCGUUGAAAACCCUCUGAGGGAUCACUUGUUAAAACAAUGCAGUGUGGUGGUUGACUGGGUGAUACGGCUUCCUUCUGCAGUUUUCUGUCGGAUUGAGUUAGUAGACACAACAUGUAUCAGAUAGAGAUGGGGUGAUGAUCAGUUUUCACCACUAGUUUGGGUAUAUUAUUUUUGCUAUUAAUCAACUUUGUUUGAAACAUCGACACUGAAAAAAAAAAAUAUAUAUAUAUAUAAAUGCAACAUGUUUUUAGUUUUUAUUUCACCUUUAUUUAACCAGGUAGGCUAGUUGAGAACAAGUUCUCAUUUGCAACUGCGACCUGGCAGACCUGGCAACAUGUGAAGUGUUGGUCCCAUGUUUCAAGACCAGAAAUGUUCCUUAUGCACAAAAAGGGUAUUUCUCUCAAAUUCUGUGCUCAAAAUUGUUUCCAUCCCUGUUAGUUAGCAUUUUUUCUUUGCCAAUAUAAUCCAUCCAUCUGACAGAUGUGGCAUAUCAAGAAGCUGAUUAAACAACAUGAUCAUUACGCAGGUGAACCUUGUGCUGGGAACAAUACAAGGACAGUCUAAAAUGUGCAGUUUUGUCACACAACCCAAUGCCACAGAUGUCUCAUGUUUUAAGGGAAUGUGCAAUUGGCAUGCUGACUGUAGGAAUACCCACCAGAGCUGUUGACAGAUAAUUGAAUGUUAAUUUCCCUACAAUAAGCUGCCUCCAACAUUGUUUUAGAGAAUUUGGCAGUACCUCCGACCGGCCUCAACCGCAAACCAUGUGUAUGGUGUUGUGUGGGCGAGCGUUUUGCUGAUGUGAAUGUUGUGAACAGAGUGCCCCAUGGUGGCAGUGAGGUUACGGUAUUGUUAGGCAUAAACUACGGACAACAAACACAAUUUUUGUGCCAUUCAUCCGCCGCCAUCACCUCAUGUUUCAGCAUGAUAUAAUACAGCUUUGUGAGGCUCAUUUGAACUUGUUGAAUUUCUGGGAUCUUUUAUUUCAACUUCAUGAAACAUUGGACCAACACUUUACUUUGCGUUUAUAUUUUGUAGAUUUGUUAUUUUAGUCAUUGAUAAUUAAUGUAUUUGGAUAACUGUAGUGAACUUAAUGGGUCUACUAAUGAAAAAUAAAUGUUCUACAUUAA